CUUUUUCCUCUCACCCUCGAUCGUCCCAAAGCUCUCAACGCCUUGAACCUAGAAAUGGAUGUGAAGUAUAAGAGUUAUCUGGAUGAAUGGGAAUCGGACCCGAGGGUUAAAUGUGUCUUGGUCGAUAGCAGCUCGCCUCGUGCCUUUUGUGCUGGUAUGGAUAUUAAAGGGGUUGUUGCUGAAAUACAAAAGGACAAAAACACUCCUUUAGUGCAGAAGGUCUUCUUACCGUUAUUUGCUUCACCUUCAAGUCUAGUAUAUUAAUGCAUAUUUAUAUGGCUGCUGUUGUGAUGUGCUUCAGUGGAUAUAUUGUUUACUUCCAUGUUACAUCAACAUCAUGCCAUCUUCUGAUGCUAUACUAUUGUUUCCAUUUCCUGUUUUUGUCAAAUAACAAUUUGUUUAUCGAUUCUCAAUGCUGCUUUCUUGGCAACUGAGAUAGUUUAUCUGCAAGUGGUGAUGUGAAGCAGAUAACAUUUAAAAAGCAUCAGUCAGAUAUUAUUGAAGUCUAGUUGUAUAUUAUAAUGUAUAUCAUCAGAUUCUUAUAAUGUAUAAAGCCAUGCCAAUAAUACGAACUGAAUACCUCUACUAAAUAAUGUUUUAA